rnacentral:rRNA from 1 species
UACGAGUGCCCCGAGCGUUAUCCGGAAUCAUUGGGCGUAAAGGGCGUGUAGGCGGUUGGUCAAGUCUGGUGUGAAAGCCCGGGGCUUAACCCCGGAAGUGCAUUGGAAACUAGCCAGCUAGAGCGCGAGAGAGGAGGGUGGAAUUCCUGGUGUAGCGGUGAAAUGCGUAGAUAUCAGGAGGAACACCGGUGGUGUAGACGGCUUUCUGGACCGUAACUGACGCUGAGACACGAAAGCGUGGGUAGCAAACAGG